UUCUUUGUCCUCUUCUUCUAUUUAUCCUCUUCUUCUCCUCUUCUCGUGUUUUCUUCUUCUUGUUGUUCCUAUUAUUUUUAUUAUUAUUUUCUUAUCCUCCCCUUUUUGUUAUUUUUCUUAUUCUUCUUCCUUCUUUUCGUUUUUCCAAUUCUUCUCAUCUUCUCGUAUUCUCCAAUUCUCUUCUUUUCUUCUAAUCCUCC
rnacentral:lncRNA from 1 species